ACGGCUCAGUAACACGUGAGAAACCUGCCCCGAUCUCUGGGAUAACAGUUGGAAACGACUGCUAAUACCGGAUGCCGUCACACCGCUUCAUGGCGGAGUGCCGAAAGAUUUAUCGGAUCGGGAGGGUCUCGCGGCCUAUCAGCUAGUUGGAGAGGUAACGGCUCACCAAGGCAUCGACGGGUAGCUGGUCUGAGAGGAUGAUCAGCCACACUGGGACUGAGACACGGCCCAGACUCCUACGGGAGGCAGCAGUGGGGAAUCUUGCACAAUGGGCGAAAGCCUGAUGCAGCAACGCCGCGUGCGGGAAGAAGGCCCUAGGGUUGUAAACCGCUUUCAGUAGGGAAGAAAAUGACGGUACCUACAGAAGAAGGUGCGGCCAACUACGUGCCAGCAGCCGCGGUGACACGUAGGCACCAAGCGUUAUCCGGAUUUAUUGGGCGUAAAGAGCUCGUAGG
rnacentral:rRNA from 1 species